rnacentral:rRNA from 1 species
CGCACCUUGCGCUCCUUGGUAUUCCUUGGAGCAUGCCUGUUUGAGUAUCAUGAAAUUAAUCAAAGACAAGUCUUUUGUUUAACUCGAUCGACUUUGUAUUUGGUACUUGGAGGUCUGCAGAUUCACGUCUGCUCCUCUUAAAUAGCAUUAGCUGGAUCUCGGUGAGCUCGGUUCCACUCGGCGUGAUAAGUAUCGCUCGCUGAGGACACCCGUAAAAAAGGUAGGCCGGGGUUGCAGAUGAACCGCUUCCAAUGGUCUAUUAAAUUAGACAAAUACUUUAUGAUCUGAUCUCAAAUCAGGUAGGACUACCCGCUGAACUUAA